rnacentral:rRNA from 1 species
AUUGAACGCUGGCGGCAGGCCUAACACAUGCAAGUCGAGCGGAUGAAGGGAGCUUGCUCCUGGAUUCAGCGGCGGACGGGUGAGUAAUGCCUAGGAAUCUGCCUGGUAGUGGGGGAUAACGUCCGGAAACGGGCGCUAAUACCGCAUACGUCCUGAGGGAGCAAGUGGGGGAUCUUCGGACCUCACGCUAUCAGCUGAGCCUAGGUCGGAUUAGCUAGUUGGUGGGGUAAAGGCCUACCAAGGCGACGAUCCGUAACUGGUCUGAGAGGAUGAUCAGUCACACUGGAACUGAGACACGGUCCAGACUACUACGGGAGGCAGCAGUGGGGAAUAUUGGACAAUGGGCGAAAGCCUGAUCCAGCCAUGCCGCGUGUGUGAAGAAGGUCUUCGGAUUGUAAAGCACUUUAAGUUGGGAGGAAGGGCAGUAAGUGAAUACCUUGCUGUUUUGACGUUACCAACAGAAUAAGCACCGGCUAACUUCGUG